AGCCUAACCCUAUAAAUCUAUAGGUAUGGUCAAAAGACCCAACGAAGAUACUAAACCACACGUUUAGCAACUCUUCGUUGGGCUAUAUCUGGAAACAGGUAUAGGAUCGUAAGACC
rnacentral:sRNA from 1 species